GCUCGUGGUGGGGGACAGGCAGUGUUCGUUGUCGGGCGGUCGGAUGGUCGAAGGUACAGGAGAGGGCAGGCAGGCUCGUGGUGGGGGACAGGCAGUGUUCGUUGUCGGGCGGUCGGAUGGUCGAAGGUACAGGAGAGGGCAGGCAGGCUCGUGGUGGGGGACAGGCAGUGUUCGUUGUCGGGCGGUCGGAUGGUCGAAGGUACAGGAGAGGGCAGGCAGGCUCGUGGUGGGGGACAGGCAGUGUUCGUUGUCGGGCGGUCGGAUGGUCGAAGGUACAGGAGAGGGCAGGCAGGCUCGUGGUGGGGGACAGGCAGUGUUCGUUGUCGGGCGGUCGGAUGGUCGAAGGUACAGGAGAGGGCAGGCAGGCUCGUAAUCCGGAAAACAGGCAAGGGUCGUAACCGGGGAAUAGAAGGACAGGUAGACUGGCUGAUGAACACAUAGAACGCUGGAAACGACUGUACGGGACAAGACGAUCUGGCAACUGCCAAACAGAGAACAGGGUUUAAGUACACGGGGCUAAUAGGGAACCGGGAACACCUGGU
ensembl:lncRNA